CCUACGGGUGGCAGCCGUGGGGAAUAUUGCGCAAUGGGCGAAAGCCUGACGCAGCGACGCCGCGUGAGGGAUGAAGGUCUUCGGAUCGUAAACCUCUGUCAGCAGGGAAGAACGGUCACUGUGCUAAUCAGCAGUGAAUUGACGGUACCUGCAACGGAAGCACCGGCUAACUCCGUGCCAACAGCCGCGGUAAUACGGAGGGUGCGAGCGUUAAUCGGAAUUAAUGGGCGUAAAGCGCGCGUAGGCGGCAUGUCAAGUCAAGGGUGAAAUCCCCGCGCUCAACGUGGGAACUGCCUUUGAAACUGGCAAACUGGAGUGUGUGAGAGGAUAGCGGAAUUCCAGGUGUAGGAGUGAAAUGCGUAGAUAUCUGGAGGAACAUCAGUGGCGAAGGCGACUAUCUGGCACAUAACUGACGCUGAGGAGCGAAAGCGUGGGUAGCAAACAGGAUUAGAUACCCCAGUAGUC
rnacentral:rRNA from 1 species